AUUGAACGCUGGCGGCAGGCUUAACACAUGCAAGUCGAGCGGUCACAGAAAGAGGCUUGCUUCCCUGCUGACGAGCGGCGGACGUGUGUGUCAUGCCUAUGAAUCUGCUUUGUGGUGGGGGUUAACUUGCCGAACGGUAGGCUAUUACCGCAUACGUCCUACGGGGGAAAGGUCAGGACCUUCAGACCUUCCGCCUUUCAAUGAUCCUUGGACGGAUUAUUUAUUUGGUGAGGUAAUGGCUCACCAAUUCCGCGAUCCGUGACUGGUCUUAGAGGAUGAUCAGGCACACUGGAACUGGGACACGGGCCAGACUCCUACGGGAGGCAGCAGUGGGGAAUAUUGGACAAUGGGGGGGAACCCUGAUGCAGCCAUGCCGCGUGUGUGAAGAAGGUCUUAGGAUUGUAAAGCACUUUAAGUUGGGAGGAAGAGAAGUUAACGAAAAUUUGAAUGUUUUGACGUUACCGAAAGAAAAAGCACCGGCUAACUUCGUG
rnacentral:rRNA from 1 species